rnacentral:rRNA from 1 species
CCAAGUUAUACUAACCAGUUUGGAAAUACUGGUCUCAGCAGAUUUUGGAAGCUGAGCAGUAUUGGGCCUGGGUAGUGGUUGGGUGGGAGACCACCAAGCAAUACCAGAGAUCCCCAGGC